UACGUAGGGUGCGAGCGUUGUCCGGAAUUAUUGGGCGUAAAGAGCUUGUAGGCGGUCUGUCGCGUCUGCCGUGAAAGUCCGGGGCUCAACUCCGGAUCUGCGGUGGGUACGGGCAGACUAGAGUGAUGUAGGGGAGACUGGAAUUCCUGGUGUAGCGGUGAAAUGCGCAGAUAUCAGGAGGAACACCGGUGGCGAAGGCGGGUCUCUGGGCCGAUACUGACGCUGAGGAGCGAAAGCGUGGGGAGCAAACAGG
rnacentral:rRNA from 1 species